GGCUUGUGUCGCCAAUAUACUUAGACACCCAUAAAACCAGGCACUAGGGUUGCGCUGGGGAAGGAACUUCCGUGCAGUAGCGGAGACUUGUUGCCACUAUCCUUGACAGGACGCAAUUCACGGUAUGAAACGAAUUGGCACUAG
rnacentral:sRNA from 10 species